rnacentral:rRNA from 1 species
CUAGCGGCAGGCCUAGCACAUGCAAGUCGAACGGUAACAGAUCUNGCUUGCGAGAUGCUGACGAGUGGCGCACGGGUGAGUAACGCGUAUGCAAUCUACCUUUAACUGAGGAAUAGCCCAGAGAAAUUUGGAUUAAUACCUCAUAGUAUUAUUUAUAGGCAUCUAUAUUAUAAUUAAAACUUCGGUGGUUAAAGAUGAGCAUGCGUCCUAUUAGCUUGUUGGUAAGGUAAAAGCUUACCAAGGCUACGAUAGGUAGGGGGCCUGAGAGGGUGACCCCCCACACUGGUACUGAGACACGGACCAGACUCCUACGGGAGGCAGCAGUGAGGAAUAUUGCGCAAUGGAGGAAACUCUGACGCAGCCAUGCCGCGUGCAGGAUGAAUGCCCUAUGGGUUGUAAACUGCUUUUCUGCAAGAAGAAACCUUAGUACGUGUACUAAGUUGACGGUACUGCAGGAAAAGCACCGGCU